GUCGUGGGUUCGAAACCGAACAGAUUACCUUUUUCGCAAAUUUUUUCCUUCUUGCUCGUCGUCUUCUCUCGCCGGAAAAUCCAUCACCAUGGAUCAAGAGCAACCAUCUUCAGGUCGCAGAAAGGGGAAGUUCACCCCCAAAGGUGGAAAGACUAAGCCCACUGUCCCUAAAUCGUACCGUGCUCUCAACUUUUCUAUGUUUUAGCUUCGCUUCAAUUUCUCUUUUUUUCUUUGGGAAAUAUUUUUGAAUAACAUUUGUUUGAAAUUGAAUUCUUUUGAGGUUUGUUUUCAUCGUCGGUGUUGUGAAAUGCAGUGAAGUGAGUUAUAAUACUAAGAAAGAAGAUGAAGCAGCCCAGGCUCAGAAGCUCGUAACCAAAUUCAAUGAGAAUCUCAGAAGAGAUGUGCCAAAAGUUCAGAAAAAAUGUAACUUCUCUUUAACUAGUACAUACAUUUAUUCUGUUGUGUUUUUGUAUUGUCAACUUUUGGUUUUGGUUCGUACUUUUUCAUGUUGUUCAACUUUGUUUUGCUUUGAUUUUUCACUCUUUGGUGCUGGAUUUUUCGGCUGUCGGAAAAUUUUAUUGGUGAUUACAUGGCUGAUAGAAUUUUGGCUGCUAUGAAUAUACAGCUUUUAUAUAGUUUGAAGGUUUGCAUUGCCAGUCUAAAUUUAUUUUCAAUUUGCACAUUCUGAUUUUUACCAAGGUACUUGAUUGUAAAUGAAUAGAUCAUGGACAGUAUUUUUCUGUUUCAGUGUCAAUGCCUAUUCUUAUUGCAUGUUUCAUUUUGCUUAUUGACAUGCUACAAUUAGAAAUGCAUUUUGAAUCCUUCAACCUCAGACCACAGAGUUGAGCUGGAUACAACAGGAGUCCAAACAUAAUUAUUUGUAAAUUCGGAAGCAAGAAAAUGAACAGUAAUCAUAAAAUUUUAGAUCAGAAGGCUUAGAAUAGAACUUCCCUCUUAAGGGUUAGCGCAGUGUUGGCUUAUGAGGGUUAGCGCCUUGGUAAAAUUGUCAUGGUUUUACUAAAUAGCGUAUUCCUUCCUUGAGCUGCAUGUGUGUGCAUACAGGCCAUAUGAUACAACAAUGGCAGCUGUUAAAAAAUUGAAAAUGAGGAUGCUGCAGAGGCACAAGGCAUCUUCAUACUUCCUUUAUCCUUAACAUCAGAAAGUUCUUUUCUCUACAGUGCUGUUAAUUCAUUCUUAUAUAAUUCAAUUUCUAUAUUGCAGUAUGCUGCUUAUUUUUGGUGGGUAUGUAUCAUGUCGUCCUCAUUUCUGAAAUCACAGACAAGGCUUGUUAGUUGUGGUGGAAUAGAUUGUGGAAUGUGUGCUAAUUAAAGACUAGUUUGCGAUGAGGAAAAAUGAACUGCCAAUUUUAUUAAUGUUAGCACAAUUAUCAUUAUCUAAUGUUUAAAGUUUCAAACUUGCAGCUUCAGUGCAAGUUGCCUUUGGGCCAGGUACCACAUCAACUUCUUUAAGGAAAUAUGGUGUUCCUAGAGAUGAGAAUGCUGGUAACAGCAGUAGGUCAGAGAUAAAAGACUCUAUUGAUGAUGAUGGAAAAAUCAUCAGUUCUUCACUUUCAACUGUCACAGAAGAUGGGAGCAUUGAUUCUCCUUCAGAUGCCAUUGCAGCAUUGCCCCUGAAAAUCAAGAAAGAUUACAGACAACCUUGGGAUUACAAAGAUACCUACUAUCCUACAACUCUUCCUUUAAGAGAGCCUUACUCAGGCGACCCAGAACUUCUUGACGAGGCUGAGUUUGGGGAUGCUGCAAAGAAAUUGGAGUAUAAUGAGAACACUAUUAAUCCUGCUAAAGAUCUUGGACUAUUGGAGGAAUGUGAUAAGGAAAGGAUGUUAUUCUUUCAAUUUCCCCCCAAGCUGCCCCUUGUCAAGCGAUCAGCUAGUGCAAAGGGAAAAGAAAAGGCUGAAGGCUCAACUCCUUCACAAGGCAAGAGUGUUUCAAAGAAAGAAAGCAAUUUGGAAGAGUUACCAGGGGGAUACAUGGGGAAAAUGCUAGUUUACAGGAGCGGAGCUGUCAAGCUGAAGCUGGGUGAUACACUGUUCGAUGUUUCACCAGGUUCAGAUUGUACAUGCGCUCAAGAUGUAAUGGCCAUCAACACUGCAGCCAAACACUGUUGCACUAUUGGAGAACUUGGGAAAAGCGUUGUUGCAACUCCUGAUGUUGAUUCUCUCCUGGAUUCUGUGAUCAACCAGAGCUAAAUGCACAGCAAUAGAUUCAAUAGGUUAACACUUAACAAUGUCCAUAGAGUGUGAAACACAGCAGUUCAAUGUGUAAAUGGUUUAGUAGAAUUGCAACAAUGUUGACUAGAUAGCAGGUGAAGUUGCUUUGGAAAUUUGCAGGAUGUCAUUCUUGAGCUAUGCGCUCCACUUCAUGAAAACUAAAUUUUACCUUCACCACAUGGCAUGGUACAUACCGUUCGCUGGUUUCUUUUUUGUUAUUUUCUUUUUUUUCCCCCUAAGUUUUAUUAAUAUCUCAUAACAAUAAAUAUUCAUAUAAUUAAUCCAAAGUAAUUUGAGAUUAUGAUUUUAUUAUUAUUAUUAUUAU
rnacentral:misc_RNA from 1 species